rnacentral:rRNA from 1 species
AACGAACGCUGGCGGCAGGCUUAACACAUGCAAGUCGAACGCCCCGCAAGGGGAGUGGCAGACGGGUGAGUAACGCGUGGGAAUCUACCCAGAUCUACGGAACAACAGUUGGAAACGACUGCUAAUACCGUAUACGCCCUACGGGGGAAAGAUUUAUCGGAUUUGGAUGAGCCCGCGUAAGAUUAGCUAGUUGGUGGGGUAAUGGCCUACCAAGGCGACGAUCUUUAGCUGGUCUGAGAGGAUGAUCAGCCACACUGGGACUGAGACACGGCCCAGACUCCUACGGGAGGCAGCAGUGGGGAAUAUUGGACAAUGGGCGCAAGUCUGAUCCAGCCAUGCCGCGUGAGUGAUGAAGGCCUUAGGGUUGUAAAGCUCUUUCAGUAGGGAAGAUAAUGACGGUACCCGCCGAAUAAGCUCCGGCUAACUUCGUGCCAGCAGCCGCCGUAAUAC